rnacentral:misc_RNA from 1 species
GAUGAAGAACGUAGCGAAAUGCGAUAAGUAGUGUGAAUUGCAGAAUUCAGUGAAUCAUCGAAUCUUUGAACGCACAUUGCGCCCCUUGGUAUCCCGAGGGGCAUGCCUGUUCGAGCGUCUUUUCACCACUCAAGCCUGGCUUGGUGUUGGGCGACGUCCCCUUUGGGGACGCGCCUCGAAACGCUCGGCGGCGUGGCACCGGCUUUAAGCGUAGCAGAAUCUUUCGCUUUGGAAGUCGGGGCCCCGUCUGCCGGAAGACCUACUCGCAAGGUUGACCUCGGAUCAGGCAGGGAUACCCGCUGAACUUAAGCAUAUCAAUAAGCGGAGGA